CCUACGGGAGGCAGCAGUGGGGAAUAUUGGACAAUGGGGGAACCCCUGAUCCAGCGACGCCGCGUGAGUGAAGAAGUAUUUCGGUACGUAAAGCUCUAUCAGCAGGAAAGAAAAUGACGGUACCUGACUAAGAAGCCCCGGCUAACUACGUGCCAGCAGCCGCGGUAAUACGUAGGGGGCAAGCGUUAUCCGGAUUUACUGGGUGUAAAGGGGGCGUAGACGGCAGCGCAAGUCUGGAGUGAAAUGCCGGGGCCCAACCCCGGAACUGCUCUGGAAACUGGGAAGCUGGAGUGCAGGAGAGGUAAGCGGAAUUCCUGGUGUAGCGGUGAAAUGCGUAGAUAUCAGGAGGAACACUGGCGGCGAAGGCGGCUUACUGGACUGUAACUGACGUUGAGGCUCGAAGGCGUGGGGAGCAAACAGGAUUAGAUACCCCGGUAGUC
rnacentral:rRNA from 1 species